rnacentral:lncRNA from 13 species
CAGAACCCCCAGCCCAUCUCAUUGAAUGGGCAGACUGUCCAGAGGACGGAGGCACUUUGUUUUGGGUUAAACAAAGGUUGUCAGGUGGAAGUUGCUAAGAGGAAGGAGCUUAGUGAAAAUACUAUAUAAACUGCAUCUUUUUUCAAAUGGUGGAAUCCUGUCCAGCCUGCCACCACUGGACUGAAUGAAGAAAGAAAAUUACAGAUGGAAGAGUUGAAAUACAAAAAGGAAUCAAGAAAAAGACAAUCUUUCAGUUAUAAAUAAGUAAUGCCUCAACUUGUUGGGAUGCUUUCUCGGAUGAGGAGGUGCAUAUGACCCAAGUCUUCCUUUCUGAGAGAACUGAGUGGUUGAUGAUCCUGCCUAGAGAUGUCCGUGGACUUGUACAAAACUGCAAAUGAUACCAUUAGGAAGUGUCCCAGGACAGUCCCUGAAUUAUUCCUUUCUCUUCCGGGCUCUUUGUUCUGCAGCACAGCCCUCUAUCCCAUCUAACUCUACAAAAUAAUUUUUUGCAUGUUCUCCCAAGAGAGUGAGAAGCCCAAAACAACCGGGAGACUAUUACAACUUUCAAUUCGGUGGAAUAAACUUCGCGUUUCCUCCUGGAAGCAUACCUCCACUGAGAGAAUUGAAAAUCACCAGAGAACUGUGUUCCAGGAAUCCAGUGAUUGAAGUUAUAGUUCCAGCAUCAUCACUAAAUAGCAAGUGAUGACCUUGGAUGCCUCAUUUUAUCAAAUCUCUCCAUUUUUCAACCUCUAAAAGUGGGAUGAUAAUUUCACAGAUUUAUUAUAAGGAGGAAAAGAGAAAAUGGAUGGGAAAAGUUUGUGAAAGCUUU